rnacentral:rRNA from 1 species
UGCUAAUCUGCGAAAAGCGCCGGUAAGGUGAUAUGAACCGUUAUAACCGGCGAUGUCCGAAUGGGGAAACCCAGUGUGACUCGUCACACUAUCAUUAACUGAAUCCAUAGGUUAAUGAGGCGAACCGGGGGAACUGAAACAUCUAAGUACCCCGAGGAAAAGAAAUCAACCGAGAUUCCCCCAGUAGCGGCGAGCGAACGGGGAGGAGCCCAGAGCCUGAAUCAGCAUGUGUGUUAGUGGAAGCGUCUGGAAAGGCGCGCGAUACAGGGUGAG